AUUUUUAUAAUAUAAAUAGUAUAUUUGACUUCCAAUCAAAAAGUCUAAAAAAUUUUAGUAAAARUA
rnacentral:tRNA from 1 species